rnacentral:rRNA from 1 species
GAUGAACGCUAGCGGCAGGCUUAAUACAUGCAAGUCGAGGGGCAGCAUGACUGUAGCAAUACAGUUGAUGGCGACCGGCAAACGGGUGCGGAACACGUACAGAACCUUCCUUCGAGCGGGGAAUAGCCCAGAGAAAUUUGGAUUAAUACCCCAUAGUACAACGGAGUGGCAUCACUUUGUUGUUAAAGAUUUAUCACUUGAAGAUGGCUGUGCGGCUGAUUAGGUAGUUGGCGGGGUAACGGCCCACCAAGCCUGCGAUCAGUAACUGGUGUGAGAGCACGACCAGUCACACGGGCACUGAGACACGGGCCCGACUCCUACGGGAGGCAGCAGUAAGGAAUAUUGGUCAAUGGACGAAAGUCUGAACCAGCCAUGCCGCGUGGAGGAUGAAGGUCCUCUGGAUUGUAAACUUCUUUUAUAUGGGACCGAAAAAAGGGUUUUCUAACUCGUCUGACGGUACCAUAUGAAUAAGCACCGGCUAACUCCGUGCCAGCAGCCGUACGG